UACAGAGGGUGCGAGCGUUGUCCGGAAUCACUGGGCGUAAAGGGCGCGUAGGCGGCUUCUAAGCGUGUGGUGAAAGCGCGGGGCUCAACCCCGCGUCGGCCAUGCGGACUGGGAGGCUGGAGCACGUCAGAGGCAGGCGGAAUUCCGGGUGUAGCGGUGGAAUGCGUAGAGAUCCGGAAGAACACCCGUGGCGAAGGCGGCUCUCUGGGACGGUACUGACGCUGAGACGCGAAAGCGUGGGGAGCGAACAGG
rnacentral:rRNA from 1 species